AUUGAACGCUGGCGGCAUGCUUUACACAUGCAAGUCGAACGGUAGAGGGGGCAACCCCUUGAGAGUGGCGAACGGGUGAGUAAUGCAUCGGAACGUGCCCAGUCGUGGGGGAUAACGCAGCGAAAGCUGUGUUAAUACCGCAUACGAUCUCUGGAUGAAAGCGUGGGACCGAAAGGCCUCGCGCGAUUGGAGCGUCCGAUGUCAGAUUAGGUAGCUGGUGGGGUAAAGGCCUACCAAGCCAACGAUCUGUAGCUGGUCUGAGAGGACGACCAGCCACACUGGGACUGAGACACGGCCCAGACUCCUACGGGAGGCAGCAGUGGGGAAUUUUGGACAAUGGGCGCAAGCCUGAUCCAGCAAUGCCGCGUGCAGGAAGAAGGCCUUCGGGUUGUAAACUGCUUUUGUACGGAACGAAACGGUCUGGGUUAAUACCCUGGGCUAAUGACGGUACCGUAAGAAUAAGCACCGGCUAACUACGUGCCAGCAGCCGCCGUAA
rnacentral:rRNA from 1 species